GGAGUCGGCCGGACAGUCGCGUCGCACGCAAGUGCAUCGAGGAAAGUCCGGGCUCCACAGGGCAGAGUGCCAGGUAACUCCUGGGCGGCGUGAGCCGACGGCCAGUGCAACAGAGAGCAGACCGCCGAUGGCCCCGCAAGGGGAUCAGGUAAGGGUGAAAGGGUGCGGUAAGAGCGCACCGCGUACGGGGUCAACGUCGUACGGCACGGUAAACCCCACUCGGAGCAAGACCAAAUAGGGGGACGAUAACGCGGCCCGCGUUGUUCCCGGGUAGGUUGCUGGAGCCAGGCGGCGACGCCUGGCCGAGAGGAAUGACUGUCGCGUCGCAAGACGUACAGAACCCGGCUUACAGGCCGACUCCACCU
rfam:Rhodanobacter sp. 115 contig248, whole genome shotgun sequence.